AUUGUGUUGUUUGUCUCUGAAGCCGCCUCAUGACCAGCAAAGGGAUUUCACCUCGUCCUUGAGAGCAACACGGGGAGCGCGAGCGAGCGGGCGAGCGAGAGACGGGGGGAGAGAGAGGGACACGCGCGCGCACACACACACACACCGGCACACACGCACACACACAGACACACACACACAGAGUGAAAAAGGCGAGCCACCAAAACCCAUCUCCAGUCUCCUCCCGGGGGCCCCCAGCCCGCCUCUGUGCCACUUUGCAUCCCACGCCGGAGGAGGCAUUAACGAGACCGGGUAAGGUGCUGUGCUGGCCAUUGGUGACCCAAAGAUGAUGAAAAAUAUGUUCCUGCCCACAAGGAGUUAGCGACCUACUGGGCUUUCCUCUUGCUGAUGACAUGAUUCCUGUUUGAAUCUGUUGACAAGAUUCUGAAAGCUGAACAGAGAAUUCUGGCACUGCACUGGGUAGGAAAAAGCAUUUCAAGAAAUAGAUAAUAUCAAGGACAUCAGGACACCGGGAGUGGGAGAGAUUGGACUGGGAGACUCAGCAGAGAUGUUGGACAGUGGGAAGAUUGCCAAGGAUAUAUUUAAAGCUCUGGUGUCUUAUGUUCCUCUUGGGCUUGAGUUUGGAUGCAACACAGGGGAUACAAAAGGAAAAUAGUGACUAUAAAGGUAAGUUGGGUUCAAAUAAUAAGAAGACUUUGAAUCUUAUGCUAAGUGGUUUGUCCUAACUCCACAGGACUUGGGGAGUCAUUAAAACUUUUUGUUUGUCUUGGGAAAGUAGGGUGAUGAUUAGGGCUGUGCCUUGGAUUAAUUAAUUCUUAUGAUGUCACUCUGAGGCUGACUGAUUUAUAAACUGUAUGGCUAUAAGAAGGAAGAUAGAAUACUAAUGCAAUCAUGAAGUAAGAGUUCAGGAAAGUCAGGCGUGAGUGGUAACACCAGGGUGCAGAUACAAGCAGAAAUCUGAAGAUGGAAUCCAUAGGGUUUGAUGUCCUCCUAGAGUGCUAAGGGAUCAAUUUCAACUUUGAAUAAUGGAAAUAAAGGCCUUGCAAUUCACAGAUAUAGGAAAUCACAAAAAGCAGUUUGUUUUUACUGAUUUAUUCUUUUUUAAAAAUUUUUGUCAGAGGGCAUGAAUUGUUUUGAGAGUCUUUAUAUUUGAGUUACCAAUACUGAUAUAUUGAGGAAGUAAGUAUUCCACAUUGGAGAUUCUGGAACAUGGCACGAGAGUUGACGAUGCAGCUAUAUGAAUUUAAACUUGAUGCUGAAAGUUGCCUCCUUAGUGGAAGAAGGGCAAUCUAGACUGAGGGGAUAGCCUGCAAGACGAGGGUGCUGAAUGCCAUGUAGAAUUUUGAAGAUCGCAUGGAAUAGUGGAAAUAGAAGAAACUCUCAAGUUUGAGUUGUAGCUUUGCUGCUUUACAAACUAUAUGGUCUUGAAGUAGC
rnacentral:lncRNA from 10 species